ensembl:miRNA
GCUGUAAACAUCCCCGACUGGAAGCUGUACCUGCUCCAGCUUUCAGUCAGAUGUUUGCUGCACCUGGCUAUG